rnacentral:rRNA from 1 species
GAUGAACGCUGGCGGCGUGCCUAAUACAUGCAAGUCGAGCGAACAGACGAGGAGCUUGCUCCUCUGACGUUAGCGGCGGACGGGUGAGUAACACGUGGAUAACCUACCUAUAAGACUGGGAUAACUUCGGGAAACCGGAGCUAAUACCGGAUAAUAUAUUGAACCGCAUGGUUCAAUAGUGAAAGACGGUUUUGCUGUCACUUAUAGAUGGAUCCGCGCCGCAUUAGCUAGUUGGUAAGGUAACGGCUUACCAAGGCGACGAUGCGUAGCCGACCUGAGAGGGUGAUCGGCCACACUGGAACUGAGACACGGUCCAGACUCCUACGGGAGGCAGCAGUAGGGAAUCUUCCGCAAUGGGCGAAAGCUUGACGGAGCAACGCCGCGUGAGUGAUGAAGGUCUUCGGAUCGUAAAACUCUGUUAUUAGGGAAGAACAAAUGUGUAAGUAACUAUGCACGUCUUGACGGCACCUAAUCAGAAAGCCACGGCUAACUACGUG